UAUAUAAGAGACCUUUUAAGUUUCUAAAUUAUGUAAGGAAAGUAUCCUUAGCCUAAUUGUAUUUAGUGCGUAAAUCAGGUUGGUAAGUAGACUUCCUACUGUAUCAAAGACAAUCGGAUGAAUCGAUACGGGGUGUGUCGAUAGCAAUGUAUGCCACGGAGCUUAUUGUUAGAUAGAAGAGGCACGCUCGAUAUAGGCAAUUUAUCAUAAAUUGUGUCCUCUAAAAAAGUUACCGAACACCAAUACUUUUUUCUGCCACUAGGGCGGGCAUGAUGAUCACCUCGAUUCUAGCGACAUCACAAAAAACCGUUGAGCAUUACGUAUUCGUAAACAUACAUGUCGGUAAAUAUUUUUUAACGAUGUUUAACAUUUUUACGUUUUUUAAGAAAUAAAAAUAGUAUUGUUGAAAAUGGUAAAAAAGUGUGCUAUGAAAAAGUGUUUUAAUGGCUCUUUAAUUGAAAGGAAAUUAAAAUCGGAGUUAAAUCAAUGACAAACAGCUUUAUUUAAAGUACCAAAGGACCCCGAAAUGUUGCAACUAUGGAGAUCAGCAAUAUCUCAACAACCUUGUCACAAAAAUUUGAUCUGCGAGUUGCAUUUUAACAGUGACGAUAUUCUUAAAAACUUUGAAAAAACAAAGUUGCAAAAUGGCAAAUUCUUUGAACUUUCAAGGUUUACAGUUGCUUUAAAAAAGGGUGCAAUUCCAAUGUUGCAAUGGCAAUGGCAAUGGCAAAUGUUGUCACGAAUGGUGAUACAACUUCAUCAAAUCAUUUUCGUACCAACAAUCACUGUACUGAUAAUGAGUAUUUGCACGAAACAAGAAAUGUAAGCGACAAGGAGUGUCCUACAAUUGGUGUUGGCCAAAACAAAAUUAUCAAUUAAAAUUGGUGAUGAUUUGACCGUUCAGGUAACUAUCUUGGCAACGAAAGUUCCUAUUAAUUUGAAUUAUUCAAUAAUAUCGGUAGCAUCAUUUUGGAAUAUGCUACGAGAAAUAGAAACUUGUCAGUUCUGUAGCGGUGCUGGAGUUAACGGAAGAUGCUCAACCGCAUGUCAAGGCAUUUUACUAUCCGAUAAAAAAUAUAAACGAUUGAAAAGAGAAUAUAUGUGUUCGGUUUGUCGUACAUUACGGAAGAGGUUAUUAAUAUCUUCAAAGAAAAAGAAAGAAGAUGUAAACUUCAUACGAAACGAAAAUGUUUACGUCGUCGUACUAUUGAGUCGGUAUAUGAAUGUCAUGAUUCGAAUUGAAGGUCCUGCGCUCUAUGAUAAAUUACGCGAACAUCAAAUAUUACCAUUACCUUGCAAAGACACAUUGAACAGAUAUAUUAAUAAACUAGACAGCGCAUUUGGUUUUCCCAAAGCAAUAUUUGAUACUCUUCGUUUGAAAGCAUCACGAAUGGAAAGUUGGGCCAAAAGGGAUAUAAUUUAUUUUAUGACAAUCCAAAUAAACUUUGGCUGUACUAAUUAUCUUUUUUGAUUGACUCCAGAUAGAAUGGUCAAAAAAAGUCAUUGGGAGGUUUUAUAUCAACAUGAACUUCAAUUUAGAUCCAACUUAAAAAUAUCCUAUAAAUUAAUAACGCAACAUAUAAACCCAGAAGGAUAUCAGAAAAUGAAUUUAAAGCUUUGAAGCUGAAGAGGUUCUAAAUUGAAGAAAAUGCAAAAGAUAGAUUAUGAUGAUAACCCUGGAAAUAACUAUCUUGCAAUUACUAAAAGCACUUUAACAGGAUUCAAAAUAACUUUAAGAGGAACAAUCGAUUUAUUGAAUUUUUUACACGAAAAAAGCAAUUUUGAUUAUUUGAUGACUGCUUGUCUCAAUCAAGAUAAGUUGGAACUGUUCUUUAGAAUUAUCAGAAAUGCUUGUGGAUGCAAUGAACACUCAGAUCCCAUAAUUUUUGGGCAAGUACUUAGGUUACUGUGCUCUUAUUCGUUGGUUACGCCACCAAAAGGAUCAAAUGUUACCUCAAUAGAGCUCUUAGAAUCAUUGAUGGAAACGAAGGAAUCGCUAAAGCUUAGCAAACAUCGAAAGUUAAAAUGAAUAAAU
rnacentral:misc_RNA from 1 species